rnacentral:rRNA from 1 species
UAACCGGCGAACGGGUGCGUAACACGUGAACAACCUGCCCUCCGUGUGGGGGAUAGCCAUGCUAACGCGUGGGUAAUACCGCAUACGUUCUCUGAAGGGAGUCCUUUGGAGAGGAAAGCUCCGGCGCACGGGGAGGGGUUCGCGGCCUAUCAGCUAGUUGGCGGGGUAAUGGCCCACCAAGGCGACGACGGGUAGCUGGUCUGAGAGGGUGACCGGCCACACUGGGACUGAGACACGGCCCAG